UACAGAGGUGGCAAGCGUUUGUUCGGAAUUACUGGGCGUAAAGGGCUCGUAGGCGGCCAACUAAGUCAGACGUGAAAUCCCUCGGCUUAACCGGGGAACUGCAUCUGAUACUGGAUGGCUUGAGAUUGGGAGAGGGAUGCGGAAUUCCAGGUGUAGCGGUGAAAUGCGUAGAUAUCUGGAGGAACACCGGUGGCGAAGGCGGCAUCCUGGACCAACACUGACGCUGAGGAGCGAAAGCCAGGGGAGCAAACGGG
rnacentral:rRNA from 1 species